rnacentral:misc_RNA from 1 species
UCAAAACAGCGGACCUUCGGGCCUCGCUGCACCCUUGUCUUUUGCGCACCGUAUUGUUUCCUCGGCGGGCUUGCCUGCCGGUUGGACAUCAUAAAACCUCUUUGUAGUUGCAAUCAGCGUCAGAAAAACAAUAAUUAUUUA